rnacentral:rRNA from 1 species
ACCCGCUGAACUUAAGCAUAUCAAUAAGCGGAGGAAAAGAAACCAACAGGGAUUGCCUUAGUAACGGCGAGUGAAGCGGCAAUAGCUCAAAUUUGAAAGCUGGCCCCUUCGGGGUCCGCGUUGUAAUUUGUAGAGGAUGAUUCGGCGAGGGCUCCCGUCUAAGUCCCUUGGAACAGGGCGUCAUAGAGGGUGAGAAUCCCGUAUGUGAUGGGCUGCCUUAGCCAUGUGAAUCUCCUUCGACGAGUCGAGUUGUUUGGGAAUGCAGCUCUAAAUGGGAGGUAAAUUUCUUCUAAAGCUAAAUACCGGCCAGAGACCGAUAGCGCACAAGUAGAGUGAUCGAAAGAUGAAAAGCACUUUGGAAAGAGAGUUAAAAAGUACGUGAAAUUGUUGAAAGGGAAGCGCUUGCAGCCAGACUUGUCCGCAGUUGCUCAGCUUGUCUCCUGACAGGCGUACUCUUCUGCGGCCAGGCCAGCAUCAGUUCGGGCGGUCGGAUAAAGACCUGGGGAAUGUAGCUCCUCUCGGGGAGUGUUAUAGCCCUGGGUGCAAUGCGGCCAGCCUGGACUGAGGAUCUCGCUUCGGCUAGGAUGCUGGCGUAAUGGCUGUAAGCGGCCCGUCUUGAAACACGGACCAAGGAGUCUAACAUCUAUGCGAGUGUUUGGGUGUCAAACCCAUGCGCGUAAUGAAAGUGAACGGAGGUGGGAACCCUCACGGGUGCACCAUCGACCGAUCCUGAUGUCUUCGGAUGGAUUUGAGUAAGAGCAUAGCUGUUGGGACCCGAAAGAUGGUGAACUAUGCCUGAAUAGGGUGAAGCCAGAGGAAACUCUGGUGGAGGCUCGCAGCGGUUCUGACGUGCAAAUCGAUCGUCAAAUUUGGGUAUAGGGGCGAAAGACUAAUCGAACCAUCUAGUAGCUGCUUCAAAGGGAGUCCU